rnacentral:lncRNA from 1 species
AAAAAGCUCAAAUACUCAGUCGUCAGUUCCUGUGAGAGGUGUUCUCUGAAGGAAGGAGAGUCAGCAGAGUGGAAAAGUCUCAUGAGAGUUAGCUUAGAUAGCGCUUGAAGAGAUCUACAACAACAAAAAGCUAUCUUCCUGGAUUGCCUGGGCUUGGGAUCUUCGGUCUAUAAAGAUCCAUUGUCAUAAACAGGAAAUGGGAAAAUCCCAGUUGAUUCAGUGAGCUGUAGCAAUUAUCAGUCUGGUAUUCCACAGUGACAACAAGUCCGGAGUC